GUGGAGGAGAGGGGGGGUUAACACUGACACAGAGGUGGGGGAGAGGGGGGUUAACACUGACACAGAGGUGGGGGAGAGGGGGGGGUUAACACUGACACAGAGGUGGGGGAGAGGGGGGGUUAACACUGACACAGAGGUGGGGGAGAGGGGGGGUUAACACUGACACAGAGGUGGGGGAGAGGGGGGUUAACACUGACACAGAGGUGGGGGAGAGGGGGGGUUAACACUGACACAGAGGUGGAGGAGAGGGGGGGUUAACACUGACACAGAGGUGGGGGAGAGGGGGGGUUAA